AAACAACAAAUCAACGGUACCUGUCGGAACGCGAGCCACUGUAUUGAUCCGAAUGCAAUCUGUGUACACUCGCGAUGCGCUUGUGAGGAACAAUAUUUUUAUGACGAAACUACAGGAAAGUGCGACUUAAAUAAACUUCUUGGCUCAUCCUGCACCAAGGACAUUGCGUGUAAGACUCCCAAUGCGACAUGUAAAAAUGGGAAAUGCACCUGCAAAGCAGGCUUGAUGCCUAUAGUAUCUGGAGUUUGUGUGAAUGAAGACCCGUGUAAGGUACCACCCACGUGCGCUAAUGGAGCCACUUGCGUGGCGGUGGGCGAGCGAGAUCGCCGUUGUCAAUGUAAACUAGGAUUUAAGGGAGAAAC